rnacentral:rRNA from 1 species
GACGAACGCUGGCGGCGUGCUUAGCACAUGCAAGUCGAACGGAAAGGCCCUGCUUUUGUGGGGUGCUCGAGUGGCGAACGGGUGAGUAACACGUGAGUAACCUGCCCUUGACUUUGGGAUAACUUCAGGAAACUGGGGCUAAUACCGGAUAGGAGCUCCUGCUGCAUGGUGGGGGUUGGAAAGUUUCGGCGGUUGGGGAUGGACUCGCGGCUUAUCAGCUUGUUGGUGGGGUAGUGGCUUACCAAGGCUUUGACGGGUAGCCGGCCUGAGAGGGUGACCGGCCACAUUGGGACUGAGAUACGGCCCAGACUCCUACGGGAGGCAGCAGUGGGGAAUAUUGCACAAUGGGCGGAAGCCUGAUGCAGCAACGCCGCGUGCGGGAUGGCGGCCUUCGGGUUGUAAACCGCUUUCGCCUGUGACGAAGCGUGAGUGACGGUAAUGGGUAAAGAAGCACCGGCUAACUACGUG